AACGGUCUAUACCUGCGGUACCUGCGGAGGGAUCAUUACCAAUUUUAUAUUAUUAGUGUGUUGUGCCGGUGACUUUGUGUUACCCGGUAUCAACUACUACUAUUAUGUAAACGUUGAACUAGAUCAAUUGGUGUGGAUUGCUUGGGAAUGGACGAAGCGACAAGCCUCUUCCGGACAGGCAAACCCCACACUGAUAACCUUUUUUCAAUAUAAUUUACUAGUAUAUACCACUAUAUAACA
rnacentral:misc_RNA from 1 species